rnacentral:lncRNA from 1 species
CUGGAGAACCCAGCUGUGCUGUGGAUAUCAGGACAAAGAGUUUUGGUGUGUCUCCACCAUGAACUGCACACCUCUACUCUUCCCACUCCUCUUGCUCUACACAGGUGAUCUCUUCUGCCCUGUCCCAGAUUCUACCUGUAGGGGUACCACAGGAUCAUGAGCUGGAUCUUCCCCAAAUGUGAAGUUUAUAUGGGACAUAGAUUUAUUUGGUCCCCUGGGUAUGGGUCCUUCAUCUCUAUCUCUUCUCUUGCAGGCUUUGUGGUCUCCUAUGAGCUGACUCAGCCAUCCUCAGUCUCAGUAGCCCCAGGACAGACAGCAACAAUCACCUGUUCUGGAGAUGAACUGCCAAAUAACUAUGCAAACUGGUUCCAGCAGCAGUACCCAGGACAGAGCCCUGUGCUGGUAACAUACAAAGAUAGUGAGAGACCUUCAGGGAUCCCAGAGAGAUUCUCUGGGUCCAGCUCAGGGACAACAGCCACUCUGACCAUCAGCAGAACUCAGACUGAAGAUGAGGCUGUCUAUUAUUGUUUAUCAUCAUAUGAUGAUAGUGAUAGUGGUAAUGCACUUCCCACAGUGACACAGGCAGAUGGGA